AGGUCGGACAGCCGCGGGGGGAGGCCGAAAGGCCCCCCGUGAGGAAAGUCCGGGCUCCACAGGGCAAGGAUAACGGGUAACGCCCGCCGGGGGUGACCCCAGGACAAGUGCAACAGAGAGAUACCGCCUCCCCUGGGAGGUAAGGGUGAAAAGGUGCGGUAAGAGCGCACCCGCCUCAUGGAGACAUCGGGGCGCUGUAAACUCUAUCCGGAGCAACACCGUGUGUGGGACAAUGGGCUGGCCCGGCCGUCCCCAAGAGGUGGCUGGAACCCGGGAGCAAUCCCGGGUCUAGAUAGAUGGCUGUCAGAACAGAACCCGGCUUACGGACCUG
rnacentral:RNase_P_RNA from 1 species